CGAGAGUCGAAGUCAAAAGAGACUGCGAGAUCGGACGGCGGCGCAAAGCUUUGCAGCUUCAACCGCCUGCUUCGACACCCACACAGUCGCAAAAGCACACAGAUACACGUUGGCGCGUAGAAUUUGUUUUGCCAAUUGCCCUGACUAAGCCCUUUGUUUAUUUGUUUAUUUAUGCAAAUUAGAGGUGUUGCGGUCACGGUCGGAUAUCUGGUGGUUUGAAAGUGAUAUAUAUUUAAUACGAAUUGGAUUCCCAAGGUUAAGACAGACAUUAAAAAUAUAUAUUAAUUGUUUUUCCCAAAUCCUAUUAAAAUUAUUCACUUUUCAUCAUAA